UACGAAGGGGGCUAGCGUUGCUCGGAAUCACUGGGCGUAAAGCGCACGUAGGCGGAUCUUUAAGUCAGGGGUGAAAUCCCAAGGCUCAACCUUGGAACUGCCUUUGAUACUGGGGAUCUCGAGUCCGGAAGAGGUUGGUGGAACUGCGAGUGUAGAGGUGAAAUUCGUAGAUAUUCGCAAGAACACCGGUGGCGAAGGCGGCCAACUGGACCAUUACUGACGCUGAGGCGCGAAAGCGUGGGGAGCAAACAGG
rnacentral:rRNA from 1 species